AUGUACUCUUACUACUUCCUCACCGCUCUUGGAAUCCGACCGCCGUGGAAACGCGCCGUUACUCAUUCUCAGAUUCUUCAGUUCGUCUUCAGCUUUGCUCUUUCCGGUAUCAUGCUUUAUUACCAUUUCUACGCCGGUGGAUGCUCCGGGAUCAACCCUUGGUGCUUCAAUGCUGUUUUUAAUGCUUCACUUUUGGCUCUUUUCCUUAAUUUCCAUUUCAACACUUAUUCUCAUUCCAACAAGAAUAAAGAUUCCUGA